rnacentral:rRNA from 1 species
CAGUCAUGUCUGUUGGUUUCAGCUUGCUCUGCAAGUGUAUUACCUUCAGACGGGUCAACAUCAGUUUUGGUGCGGUGGAUAAGAGCGGAUUGAAGGUGGCACCCUCGGGUGUGUUAUAGCUUUCUGUUGCAUACACUGCCUGAGACUGAGGACUGCAGCUCGCCUUUACGGCCGCCCCUCGGGGACCUUCGAGCUUAGGAUGUUGGCAUAAUGGCUUUAAACGACCCGUCUUGAAACACGGACCAAGGAGUCUAGCAUAUAUGCGAGUGUU